rnacentral:lncRNA from 10 species
CUGGCGGCCGCUCGUACCCUACCAGGCGCUCUGCCCCGCCGUGGGGUUUUGGGGGUGCUGUGGAGAAGGCAGGGCUCGGGACUCUUCCACCUCCUUGGCUGCUCUGGCCUUUGAGUUAUGCUCUAAGAUUAUCGAUUACUUUUCCGUUGUUGCUUAUUUCCCACAGCAGCAGAAUGAGAACGGUUAUUAGUUAAUAGCCAUCAGAGACAGACCAAGUGGAACACAGUCCUCGGAAAAACGCCACUCUGUAGCAUUAGUAAUUAAAACCUCACAAGGUUUGUAUUUCCUGAAGGAGGCCGUCAGUGUCAAUGCUGUACUAACGACGGUACUGUACACUUCUCAGUCCUUUAUGUGGAGCUGGGGGCAGGAAGAAUUGCUUCUGGAAGCUGAUGGAGUUGGACAUGUGGCUUUCUAGAAUCUGUGCCCAGCUUGUCAAGAAGUUGAAUCGGUGCAACCAGCGUUUGUGAAAGCAGCAUUUCCCAUUUCACAUAAAGUCAGCUUCUGGCCAACUGGACAAGUCUGAACAAAUAUGAAACCCACUAAAAGGCCAGUGACAGGUGCACACACUACUGACUCUGGCUAGAGGCUGUGGCAGGAAUUGGACUCAUGUCAUCCAGCGACAGUUCCACCAGCAUCUCUUGUGGCUUCCCAAGGACCAGCCUGAGGCAAACUCCUCAGUGGUGUGAAGACUUUCCAUGUCACUGGAAACCCACCACAGAGUUCUACCAAGUAACCAUGCCUCCACCAGUCCACAACAAACUUUUAAGGCCUCUCCAGUUAUGCCUGCAACCAUCCCACAUUAGCAACCUAAGUAGGCCACCAGUAGAGCUGGUCAAGAGAAAGGAUAGGUUCAAUUAAUUAUUUUUUAAUUAAAAAAAAAUAGAGACAGGGUCUUGUUAUGUUGCCGAGGCUGGUCUUGUACUCCUGAGCUGAAAUUAUCUUCCCGCCUCAGUCUCCCAAAGUGCUGAGAUUACAGGUGUGAGCCACCGUACUCAGCCAGAUAGAUUCAAUUUUUAAAACUUUAUUGCCAUUACUGUUCAGUAACCCCUUGAUAUGGUUGAAUAUUUGUCCCCUCCAAAACUUAUGCUGAUAUCUAAUCCCCAAUGUGACACUAUUGAGAGCUGGGGCUUUUAAGAUGUGAUUAGGUCAUGAGGGCUCCACCUUCUGAAUGGAUUAAUCCAUUCAUGGAUUAAUGAGUUCAUGGGUUAAUAGAUUAAUUUAUCUUGGGAGUGGGAUUAGUGGUUUUAUAAGAAGAGUGAGACCUCAGCUAGCAUAUUAGCACUCAGCUCCCUUGGCAUGUGAUACCACCUUGGGACUCUGCAGAGAGUUCCACCAGCAAGGCCUGUACCAGAUGCAGCCCCUUGACCUUGAACUUUUCAGCUUCCAGAACUGUAAGAAAUAGGCCAGGCAUAGUGGUUUACACCUGUCAUCCCACCACUCUGAGAGGCCAAGGCCAGUGGAUUGCUUGAGCCCAGGAGUUUGAGGCUUCAGUGAGCUAUGAUCAUGCCAUUGCACUCCAACCCAGCCUGGGCAACAGAACAAAACUCAGUCUCAAAAAAAAAAAAAAAAAAAAAAAAAAAAAAAGAAGAAGAAGCCAGAUACAAAAGAAUACAUUCUGUAUGACUCCAUUUAUUAGAAGUUCAAGGCCAGAUGUAGUGGCUCACACCUGUAAUCCUAACACUUUGGGAGGCCAACACAGGAAGAUCACUUAAGCUCAGGAGUUUGAGACCAGCCUGGGCAACAUAGUGAGACUCCAUGUCUAUUAAAACAAAAAAGUUCAAGGAGAAUCCAAAUUAAUGGAUGUGGAUAGAAAUCAAAGUGGCGAUUCCUCUUCAGAAGUGAAGACUGACUGAUAGGAGAAAUGAGAGAACUUUCUGAGUGAUGAAGGUGUUUUAUAUCUAGAUUGGAGAGUUGGUUACACAAGCGUAUAUAUUUGUCAAAAGUCAUCAAAUUGCACACAUAUUAUUUCACAGUAUGUAUGUUUUACCUUAAAUAAAAAUGUUUUGGCCAGGCACAGUGGCUUACACCUAUAACCCCAGCACUUUGGGAGGCCACAGCAGGAGGAUCUCUUGAGCACAGGAGUUUGAGACCAGCCUGGGCAAUAUAGUGAGCCCUCAUCUCUACUAAUGAAAUAAAAUAAAAUAUAACAUAAAAUAGCCACGCGUGGUGAUGCAGGCCUGUGGUCCCAGCUACUCAGGAGGUUGGGGUAUGAGGACCGUUUCAGCCUGGGAGGUCAAGGCUGCAGUGAACUGUGAUGAUGCUACUGCAUUCCAGUCUGAGUGACACAGUGAGACCCUGUCUCCAGAAAUAAAACAAGACACAACAAAAAAAGUGUUGUAUACUUUUUUUUUUUAAUUUAGAAGAGAAGAGCCAGGCACAGUGGCUCACGGCUGUAAUCCCGACACUCUGGGAGACCAAGGCAAGAGGACUGCUUGAGCUCAG